rnacentral:lncRNA from 1 species
UCCGGCAAAGAUAAGAGGAUUAAAAGACUUUGAGAAGGGGAUAAAAAAGGGAGGCACAUGAGGAAGGAAUAAACAAGCUAUAAAGAAAAAGUGAUUGAAUAAAAAGGAAAAAGAGGGGGGAGUUACGCUUGGUCUUUAAAUAAAGAAUACAUUCAGACAUCUAGGGGGACUUUGAAGAAAAAUAUUCGGAGUUUAAGUUAAAAAUCUACUGGUCUUUCAAUCUAAAAAAGUUCAGUAAGUUUGAGAGAUAAAAGUUGAAAAGUGAGAUCUCUUUGUUAGUGAAAAUUAGUGCUAGUUUGCUUGUUCCAUCGAAGCUUCAAGCUUCUUCUUCCUCAAGUGUUUGAAAACCAGAAAACUACUACUUUUUUGUUUCUGGUUCCCUUCUGUUUUUGCCUGGGUUGCUAUUGGAUUGGUUGUUACUGUUUCAUUGGUUGCUACUGGAUUUUUUGCAAAUCUGUCCGUGGGUUUCUGCUACUGCUGGUCAUUAGUGUUGCUGCUCGUUGUUCGCUACUGUUGUCUGCUGAUCUUCCUCUUCUUUUGCUUCCUAUACCAGGUACAUGGCUGUAACUUUGCAAAUUUUGUAGCUGAAACUUGAAGCAUGAAUACAAAAAAAAAUCCCGAAGAGUUGAACUUGUUUUUGAAUUCACUUUAGUUGUAUAUUGAACACUAGUUGUAUAUAUAUUAGUUCACCCCCUUUACUAGAAUCAUGUAGGUAGCUGUGAUAUAUAACUUAACAUUUAUAUAUAGCAACUUAGUUUGUGAACUUUCUAUGUUAGUUUGUAGUUACAAAAGGGUUGAAAGUGUAGUUAUUAUUGCGCUGUUCAUUUCAAUUUGUUUGUUAAAAUGCAUGUCAAACUAGAAUCAGGCAAAAUAGACUUCUAUUCAUCAGGGCAAUCUAAUUUAAGCAUGCAAGUGGUUUGAAUUUAGGAUUAUUUUUAGAAUUCUAAGUCACCCCAUUCCAAUUGAUUAUUUUUUCCACAACUUGCAGUAGUUUGUUGAAUCAAAUAUUUGGGACACUAAAAGCCAAACAUUUCUCAAGUGGCGACUCUGAAAUAAAUAAUUCCGAUUCGAUAAUAUCACUUAAAUUGGAAAAACUCCCUUGUGCAUUUAUCCUUCGAGUAAGGCGCACAAAAAGGAGGUGUGAC